rnacentral:rRNA from 1 species
GCGCUAUCUGCAGUCGAUGUGGCAACACAUGGCGCACGGGUGCGUAACACGUAUGCAACCUACCCACUACUGGGGGAUAACUCGGAGAAAUCCGAGAUAAUACCGCAUAACAUAAUUGAAUAGCAUUAUUUGAUUAUUAAAGAUUUAUUGGUAGUGGAUGGGCAUGCGUCCGAUUAGCUAGUUGGUAGGGUAACGGCCUACCAAGGCGAUGAUCGGUAGGGGUUCUGAGAGGAAGAUCCCCCACACUGGUACUGAGAUACGGACCAGACUCCUACGGGAGGCAGCAGUAGGGAAUAUUGGACAAUGGGCGCAAGCCUGAUCCAGCCAUGCCGCGUGCAGGAAGAAGGCGUUAUGCGUUGUAAACUGCUUUUGAUGGGGAAUAAAAGGGCUCUGCGGAGCAAAUUGCAGGUACCCAUAGAAUAAGCCACGGCUAACUACGUGCCAGCAGCCGCGGUAAUACGUAGGUGGCGAGCGUUAUCCGGAUUUAUUGGGUUUAAAGGGUGCGUAGGCGGUUUAAUAAGUCAGUGGUGAAAGUAGGCAGCUCAACUGUCUGACUGCCAUUGAUACUGUUAGGCUAGAGUAUAGUAGAGGUAGGCGGAAUUUAGGGUGUAGCGGUGAAAUGCAUAGAUACCCUAAAGAACACCGAUUGCGUAGGCAGCUUACUGGACUAUAACUGACGCUGAGGCACGAAAGUAUGGGAAUCAAACAGGAUUAGAUACCCUGGUAGUCCAUACCCUAAACGAUGUACACUCGAUGUUAGCGAUAUACUGUUAGCGUCUUAGCGAAAGCGUUAAGUGUACCACCUGGGGAGUACGC